CUGCAGUUCGCACUUUCAUAAUGUAACGGAUUGUAAAAAUAACCCUGAGGAAAAGUCGCAGCUGAGCUGAGGGGUGAGAAGAUUCACCGUGAACUGAUUCUCCAUUCAUCCUUGCUGAUUCAUUUUUGACGGUUUGAACAGAGAAUCGUAGAGUUGGAGAGAGCUAUUGAGAAUCCAACUCUUCUUGGUGCAGGAACUGAAUUAAAGCAUCCUGGACUGAUAGCUGCCUAGCCAGUACAGAGGCAUCAAGGAAUGAUACGAGAUGAUUUGCCUUAGUCUAUUCGGUGUCCCUAAAUGCAGGACGGAUGUGAAAAUGAACCCUGAUCCGCUAUUAUUCCUCACCCAGCAGGAAUUCCACUGACCUACUUUCACACAAGCAGGCACUGUCCCUUGCAAAUCAGCCCUGAAAAGCACAGCUUGCCUCAUCCAGAGGAAAUAUGUUUUCCAACUCAGAAGCAUAAUCCAAGACCUGAAUGCAUCCCAUUCAUCUGAAUCCAUAAACAAACACGUUCAAAUUUAAGGCUCUUCUGUUUGAAAACUAAAAUCCAGAGCUUGCAAUACAACAAAGAACAAAGAAAUGGAUGUUUAGAGAAAAAGAUGCUGAUUAAAUUUAUUACCAGUUGGAAGCCUGUUUUGGA